GACGAACGCUGGCGGCAUGCCUAACACAUGCAAGUCUAGGGGUAGCAAUACCACUGGCGCACGGGUGAGUAACACGUAGGUUAUCUGCCCCCAUCACAGACAUAACCCGGGAACCGGGGCUAAUAUCUGAUGAGGUCGCGAGAUCAAAGCUUCGGCGGAUGGGGAUGAGCCUGCGGCUGAUUAGCUAGUUGGUGAGGUAAUGGCUCACCAAGGCGACGAUCAGUAGCUGGUCUGAGAGGACGAACAGCCACACUGGAACUGAGACACGGUCCAGACUCCUACGGGAGGCAGCAGUGAGGAAUAUUGGUCAAUGGGAGCAAUCCUGAACCAGCAAUGCCGCGUGUGGGAUGACAGGGCUUCGCCUUGUAAACCACUGUCGGACGGGACGAAAGGAGGCCUCGGGCCUCUGGGACGGUACCGUCAAAGGAAGGGUCGGCUAACUACGUGCCAGCAGCCGCGGUAAU
rnacentral:rRNA from 1 species